GGGUGAGUAACGCGUAAGGAACUUGCCUCUUGGACUGGGACAACUGUUGGAAACGACAGCUAAUACCGGAUAUUAUGAGAUUCUCGCAUGAGAAACUUAUGAAAGCUAUAUGCGCCAAGAGAGAGCCUUGCGUUCCAUUAGCUAGUUGGUGGGGUAACGGCCCACCAAGGCGACGAUGGAUAGCCGGCCUGAGAGGGUGAACGGCCACAAGGGGACUGAGACACGGCCCUUACUCCUACGGGAGGCAGCAGUGGGGAAUAUUGGACAAUGGGCCACAAGCCUGAUCCAGCAAUUCUGUGUGCACGAUGAAGGUCUUCGGAUUGUAAAGUGCUUUCAGUUGGGAAGAAGAAAGUGACGGUACCAACAGAAGAAGCGACGGCUAAAUACGUGCCAGCAGCCGCGGUAAUACGUAUGUCGCAAGCGUUAUCCGGAUUUAUUGGGCGUAAAGCGCGUCUAGGCGGAAAAAUAAGUCUGAUGUUAAAAUGCGGGGCUCAACUCCGUAUUGCGUUGGAAACUGUUUUUCUAGAGUACUGGAGAGGUGGGCGGAACUACAAGUGUAGAGGUGAAAUUCGUAGAUAUUUGUAGGAAUGCCGAUGGAGAAGUCAGCUCACUGGACAGAUACUGACGCUGAAGCGCGAAAGCGUGGGGAGCAAACAGG
rnacentral:rRNA from 1 species